rnacentral:rRNA from 1 species
CCUACGGGGGGCAGCAGUGGGGAAUAUUGGACAAUGGGGGGAACCCUGAUCCAGCCAUGCCGCGUGUGUGAAGAAGGCCCUCGGGUUGUAAAGCACUUUCAGUGAGGAAGAACGCCUGGUGGUUAAUACCCAUCAGGAAAGACAUCACUCACAGAAGAAGCACCGGCUAACUCCGUGCCAGCAGCCGCGGUAAUACGGAGGGUGCGAGCGUUAAUCGGAAUUACUGGGCGUAAAGCGCGCGUAGGUGGCUUGAUAAGCCGGUUGUGAAAGCCCCGGGCUCAACCUGGGAACGGCAUCCGGAACUGUCAAGCUAGAGUGCAGGAGAGGAAGGUAGAAGUCCCGGUGUAGCGGUGAAAUGCGUAGAGAUCGGGAGGAAUACCAGUGGCGAAGGCGGCCUUCUGGACUGACACUGACACUGAGGUGCGAAAGCGUGGGUAGCAAACAGGAUUAGAUACCCUUGUAGUC